UACGUAGGGUGCGAGCGUUGUCCGGAAUUAUUGGGCGUAAAGGGCGCGUAGGCGGCUUGGCAAGUGGAAGGUGAAAUCCCUCGGCUUAACCGAGGAACUGCCCUCCAAACUGCUUCGCUUGAGACCGGGAGAGGUGAGUGGAAUUCCCAGUGUAGCGGUGAAAUGCGUAGAUAUUGGGAGGAACACCAGUGGCGAAGGCGGCUCACUGGACCGGUACUGACGCUGAUGCGCGAAAGCGUGGGGAGCAAACGGG
rnacentral:rRNA from 1 species